CNUAACACAUGCAAGUCGAGGGGCAGCACGGUGUAGCAAUACACGGGUGGCGACCGGCGCACGGGUGAGUAACGCGUAUGCAACCUGCCUACUACAAGGGGAUAACCCGUUGAAAGACGGACUAAUACCCUAUAACACAGGGGAUCCGCAUGGAUAUAUUUGUUAAAGAUUUAUCGGUAGUAGAUGGGCAUGCGUUCCAUUAGCUUGUUGGUGAGGUAACGGCUCACCAAGGCAACGAUGGAUAGGGGAACUGAGAGGUUGAUCCCCCACACUGGAACUGAGACACGGUCCAGACUCCUACGGGAGGCAGCAGUGAGGAAUAUUGGUCAAUGGACGAGAGUCUGAACCAGCCAAGUCGCGUGAAGGAAGACGGCCCUACGGGUUGUAAACUUCUUUUGUAAGGGAAUAAAUAGUCUUACGCGCUAAGACGUUGCAGGUACCUUACGAAUAAGGAUCGGCUAACUCCGUGCCAGCAGCCGCGGUAAUACGGAGGAUCCGAGCGUUAUCCGGAUUUAUUGGGUUUAAAGGGUGCGCAGGCGGCAUGUUAAGUCGGCGGUGAAAUUUUGCAGCUCAACUGUAAAAGAGCCUUCGAAACUGGCAAGCUUGAGUGUGGAUGAAGUAGGCGGAAUUUGUGGUGUAGCGGUGAAAUGCAUAGAUAUCACAAAGAACACCGAUUGCGCAGGCAGCUUACUAAACCAUAACUGACGCUCAUGCACGAAGGCGUGGGGAUCAAACAGGAUUAGAUACCCUGGUAGUCCACGCAGUAAACGAUGAUUACUGGCUGUUUGCGAUACAAUGUAAGCGGCUGANCGAAAGCGUUAAGUAAUCCACCUGGGGAG
rnacentral:rRNA from 1 species